rnacentral:lncRNA from 1 species
CGUGUAAAGAAGGAUGUGUUUGCUUCUCCUUCCGCCAUGAUUGUAAGUUUCCUGAGGCCUCCCCAGCCAUGCUCAACUGCUGUUCUGAUCAUGAUCAAGCCCAAGACAGAGCGAUGGGCGUGGCUUCCCCAAAGGUGUUUAUGAAUCCAAAAUGUGAGACAGAAGACAAGAUGAAGUCACAGUCUAGUCAUUGCCUCAACACCAGUCAUUCCUACUCCCACCCAGACAACAUCAUCUCCGCUCCCAAGCCCGAAAUGCUCCCUGCCAUGCCUUCGAGGCUGAGGUCUGGGAAGAAGACUCUAAGAAGAGAGAAAAGGGCACCAGUAUGGAGACCCUAGAAUAUAAAAAGCAGACCUAGCCUGUCUAACCUGUUCCUUGACUUGGCCAUGAUCCCAGGAAUGGAGGAAGGAUCUUCCUUUUCUUCCUCCUCCUGGAGAGGCAUCAGAGCAUGGGCCCUGGCUCUGUUACUCCCUGGCUGGGGAAGUUACUUACCUAAUCCGUGUCUCAGUUUUACUUAUCUCUAAAAGGGGUAGAGUAACAGCACUCACUGGAGUGGAGUGUGGUUAUGCCUCCCAGCCUCUCCUUCAGAACUAGGUUACUUAUUCCCUCAGCUGCAAGGAGUGUUAGCUGCGGACUGCUCACAACGGAGUCUCUUCUAGGGAUUGCCCUCAACCGAAGGAAGCUGCAUUGCCCAAGAUGAGAUCCCCUCGCUGGGGCAUCCUGCAUCCAAUGACAAGUCAGUGGGGCGUACGAAGGCCUGGCUUCCUCAUCUCGAUUGGACAUCUCCAAAGGGCCAUCCCAGUUUCUGAUCUCCCCGUAGAAUCUCCUGAAGCCUCUGUUGUGACUGCAUCAGAGCCCAACCUCUCUCUCUACCCAAUCCAGUCUCCUUUCCUUCUCACAGGUGUUGUUCCCAAAACUCAGUAAACUGCCUACACGCAA